ACCAACUGGCUCAGCUGGUUUGAGCGUGCUUCACCGGUAAUAAACGCAAAGCUUGGGUUCGAUUCCCACGUUGGUA